GGUGGUAAUACCGGAUGCUCCGCUCCAUCGCAUGGUGGGGUGGGAAAUGCUUUUGCGGCAUGGGAUGGGGUCGCGUCCUAUCAGCUUGUUGGCGGGGUGAUGGCCCACCAAGGCGUUGACGGGUAGCCGGCCUGAGAGGGUGACCGGCCACAUUGGGACUGAGAUACGGCCCAGACUCCUACGGGAGGCAGCAGUGGGGAAUAUUGCACAAUGGGCGCAAGCCUGAUGCAGCGACGCCGCGUGCGGGAUGGAGGCCUUCGGGUUGUAAACCGCUUUUGUUCAAGGGCAAGGCACGGUUUCGGCCGUGUUGAGUGGAUUGUUCGAAUAAGCACCGGCUAACUACGUGCCAGCAGCCGCGGUAAUACGUAGGGUGCGAGCGUUAUCCGGAUUUAUUGGGCGUAAAGGGCUCGUAGGCGGUUCGUCGCGUCCGGUGUGAAAGUCCAUCGCCUAACGGUGGAUCUGCGCCGGGUACGGGCGGGCUGGAGUGCGGUAGGGGAGACUGGAAUUCCCGGUGUAACGGUGGAAUGUGUAGAUAUCGGGAAAGAACACCA
rnacentral:rRNA from 1 species